rnacentral:tRNA from 1 species
AUUUAUAUAGCUUAAUUAGAGCGUGACAUUGAAGAUGUUAAGGUAGUAUUAACUUGUAAAUA